CGCUCAUGGACGAAAGCCAGGGGAGCGAGGGAUUAGAUACCCCUGUAGUCCUGGCCGUAAACGAUGAACACUAGGUGUCGGGGGAAUCGACCCCUUCAGUGUCGUAGCUAACGCGUUAAGUGUUCCGCCUGGGGGAGUACGCACGCAAGUGUGAAACUCAAAGGAAUUGACGGGGGCCCGCACAAGCGGUGGAGUAUGUGGUUUAAUUCGAUGCAACGCGAAGAACCUUACCAGGGCUUGACAUCCUGCGAACCUUUAAGAAAUUAGAGGGUGCCUUCGGGAACGCAGUGACAGGUGGUGCAUGGCUGUCGUCAGCUCGUGUCGUGAGAUGUUGGGUUAAGUCCCGCAACGAGCGCAACCCACGUUUUUAGUUGCCAGCAUUUAGUUGGGCACUCUAGAAAGACCGCCGGUGAUAAACCGGAGGAAGGUGUGGAUGACGUCAAGUCAUCAUGCCCCUUACGUCCUGGGCUACACACGUACUACAAUGCUACGGACAAAGGGCAGCAAACUCGCGAGAGCUAGCAAAUCCCAUAAACCGUGGCUCAGUUCAGAUCGUAGGCUGCAACUCGCCUACGUGAAGUAGGAAUCGCUAGUAAUCGCAGGUCAGCAUACUGCGGUGAAUACGUUCCCGGGCCUUGUACACACCGCCCGUCACACCAUGGAAGUUGGCCACGCCCGAAGUCGUUACUUUAACCCUUGUGGAGAAGGACGCCGAAGGUGGGGCUGAUGACUGGGGUGAAGUCGUAACAAGGUA
rnacentral:rRNA from 1 species